rnacentral:misc_RNA from 1 species
GGCAAAAUGCUGGAUGAAACUUUGAUUAGCAUCAGCAGCUACACGACACCCAUAAAGCAAAAUAUCACCAUCUUUCGCCAGUGCUUGCC